AGAUUCUCAAAUCCAACUCUCUAUAUGCGUAUAAGCUCAUAAAUGUGAAGAAAAUAAACUAACAGUCUUUUCUCAUUAUCAAUCAAUGGCGAUUCCAACUUGUUUCUCACUAAUAACACCUUCUUCUUUUUCUUCUCCCAAAUUGAAUAACAUUUUCCACUCUCCCAUCCCAAAAUUAUCUAAACCCACUUUCAGUUUCCAUGGAAAAAGAUUACGGUAUCAAAACGGCAACGUUGUUCCUUGUGUAGGCGAGGAUUUACCGAUGGAGUAUGCUGAUUGGUUGCCCAAACGGCAGUUAAGUGAUCGUAGAAGAGCUGGUGUGUUACUCCAUCCGACGUCGUUUCCUGGACCAUAUGGUAUUGGUGAUCUUGGUCCUCAGGCUUUCAGGUUUCUUGAUUGGCUCAAUCUUUCUGGUUGCUCCCUUUGGCAGGUUCUUCCGCUUGUACCACCUGGAAAGAGAGCCAAUGAAGAUGGAUCACCCUAUUCAGGGCAGGAUGCAAAUUGUGGAAACACCCUUUUGAUUUCUCUUGAAGAACUUGUUGAUGAUGGUUUAUUAAAGAAGGAGGAGCUUCCGGAGCCAAUAGCUGCGGACCGUGUCAAUUACUCGACUAUUUCUGAGAUAAAAGAUCCUUUAAUAACCAAGGCAGCAAAGAGACUUCUCUCCAGUGAAGGGGAACUGAAAGACCAGCUCGAGAACUUUCGCCGGGAUCCAAAUAUUUCGAGUUGGCUGGAGGAUGCGGCUUAUUUUGCUGCCAUAGACAACUCUUUAAACACUAUUAGCUGGUAUGAUUGGCCUGAACCAUUGAAAAAUCGCCAUCUUGCAGCUCUAGAAGAAGUUUAUCAAAGUGAAAAGGAUUUUAUUGACAUAUUCAUAGCACAGCAGUUUUUAUUCCAAAGACAAUGGAAAAAGGUUCGUGACUAUGCACGAUCCAAAGGAAUCAGUAUAAUGGGAGACAUGCCAAUAUAUGUUGGAUAUCACAGUGCUGAUGUUUGGGCCAAUAAGAAACAAUUUUUGCUGAAUAGGAAAGGUUUCCCUCUUAUAGUUAGUGGUGUUCCUCCAGACGCUUUUAGUGAAACUGGUCAACUAUGGGGCAGCCCUCUCUAUGAUUGGAAAGCCAUGAAGAAGGAGGGAUUUUCAUGGUGGGUACGCCGGAUUCGACGUGCAACGGAUCUUUUUGAUGAAUUUAGGAUAGAUCACUUUAGAGGAUUUGCUGGAUUUUGGGCUGUUCCUUCUGAAGCAAAAGUCGCAAUGCUGGGGCGUUGGAAAGUGGGACCUGGAAAACCUUUGUUUGAUGCUAUAUUCCAAGCUGUUGGGAAGAUAAAUAUUAUAGCAGAAGACUUGGGAGUAAUCACCACGGACGUUGUUCAGCUAAGAAAGUCCAUUGAGGCACCUGGAAUGGCCGUACUCCAGUUUGCAUUUGGCAGUGAUGCUGAAAACCCUCAUUUGCCUCACAAUCAUGAGCAGAACCAAGUUGUGUAUACUGGAACACAUGACAAUGAUACGAUCCGAGGUUGGUGGAACAUCUUGCCACAGGAAGAGAAAUCCAAUGUACUAAAGUAUUUAUCAAACAUUGAGGAAGAGGAAAUAUCGUGGGGCCUGAUCAAAGCUGCAGUUUCUUCUGUAGCCCGUAUUGCAAUUAUACCAAUGCAGGAUGUCCUUGGUCUUGGGAGUGAUUCUAGAAUGAAUAUUCCAGCCACUCAGUUUGGAAACUGGAGUUGGAGGAUACCUAGUUCUACCAGCUUUGACAGCUUGGAUGCCGAAGCAAAGAAGCUAAGAGAUAUACUUGCAACUUAUGGGCGGUUAUGAUGAUGAAUGAUGGUUAAGAUGUUAAGGUGCUGGCAAUCAGGGCGGACCUAGCCUAUAGGAUAUUCUCAGGCUCGGGACACAAAUGGCUGACAGCAUAAACGAUCGAAACAAGUUUUUUAUGUCACAAUUCACCACAUUGCUUCAAAGGAACGACUGUGUUUUCAUUUUUCCUGAUAUUUAGGCUCCCUGGGGAAGCAGAUAAGGAAAGCUAAAACGCACGCUAUGAAUUCUAUUAUUCUAUAUUAGCCGCUAUAAACUACAGAUGCUAGAGCCAUGCCAUGUUUAAGCAGAAAAACUUAAAAUUUUAAAGUUCGACUGUUCUAACAAUAAAUAAUGCAUGUUUCUGUGUUCUUCCUAUUUGGUGGAAAUAAUACAAAUAUUCCUUCUAGUUA